GAUGAACGCUGGCGGCGUGCCUAACACAUGCAAGUCGAGCGAUUCUCUUCGGAGAAGAGCGGCGGACGGGUGAGUAUCGCGUGGGUAACCUGCCCUGUACACACGGAUAACAUACCGAAAGGUAUGCUAAUACGAGAUAAUAUGCUUUUAUCGCAUGGUAGAAGUAUCAAAGCUUUUGCGGUACAGGAUGGACCCGCGUCUGAUUAGCUAGUUGGUAAGGUAACGGCUUACCAAGGCGACGAUCAGUAGCCGACCUGAGAGGGUGAGCGGCCACAUUGGAACUGAGACACGGUCCAAACUCCUACGGGAGGAAGCAGUGAGGAAUAUUGCACAAUGGGCGAAAGCCUGAUGCAGCAACGCCGCGUGAGCGAUGAGGGCCUUCGGGUCGUAAAGCUCUGUCCUCAAGGAAGAUAAUGACGGUACUUGAGGAGGAAGCCCCGGCUAACUACGUGCCAGCCGCCGCCGUAACAC
rnacentral:rRNA from 1 species